GCUCCCCCACCCCACGCCAGGAGUGCGCAGGCGCGCCGACCGCCGAGUUUUCUGCACUUCCUUCUCCCUCUGUCCAGACGUCGUGGGUGUUCGGUCUUAUGUCGCGCCGGGCCCUCCGGAGGCUCAGGGGGGAACAGCGCGGCCAAGAGCCCCUCGGGCCCGGCGCCCUGCAGUUCGAUCUCCGUGAUGAGGAUGACGCGGAAGAAGAAGGGCCCAAGCGGGAGCUGGGUGUUCGGCGCCCCCGGGGCGCAGGGAAGGAGGGCGUCCGAGUCAACAACCGCUUCGAGCUGAUAAACAUUGACGACCUUGAGGAUGACCCUGUGGUGAACGGGGAGGGGUCUGGCUGUGCGCUCACAGACGCUGCGGCACCAGGGCACAAAGGAAGGGCUCAGCGUGGAAACACAGAGAGCAAGACGGAUGGAGACGUCGCCGAGACAGCGCCCCCAGAGCAGUCUAAUGCAAGUGGCAAACUCCGGAAGAAGAAAAAGAAACAGAAAAAUAAGAAAAGCAGCACGGGAGAAGCAUCGGAGAACGGACUAGAAGAUAUCGAUCGCAUCCUAGAGAGGAUUGAGGACAGCGCUGGGUGGAACCGUCCCGGCCCAGCUCCCCUGAGCUCCAGGAAGCACGUGCUCUACGUGGAGCACAGACACUUGAAUCCAGACACAGAACUGAAAAGGUAUUUUGGUGCCCGGGCAGUCCUGGGGGAGCAAAGGCCACGGCAGAGACAACGCGUGCACCCCAAGUGCACAUGGCUGACCACCCCUAAGAGCACCUGGCCCCGGUACAGCAAACCAGGUCUGUCCAUGCGGCUGCUGGAAUCAAAAAAAGGCCUCUCCUUCUUUGCGUUCGAGCACAGUGAGGAGUACCAGCAGGCUCAGCACAAGUUCCUGGUGGCCGUGGAGUCUAUGGAGCCGAACAACAUUGUGGUUCUGCUCCAGACAAGCCCUUACCACGUCGACUCGCUCCUGCAGCUCAGCGAUGCCUGCCGCUUUCAAGAGGAUCAGGAGAUGGCUCGAGACCUCGUAGAGAGAGCGCUGUACAGCAUGGAAUGUGCGUUCCACCCCCUGUUCAGUCUCACCAGCGGGGCCUGCCGGCUGGAUUACCGCAGACCCGAGAACAGGAGCUUCUAUCUGGCCCUCUACAAGCAGAUGAGCUUCCUGGAGAAGCGAGGCUGCCCGCGCACAGCGCUGGAGUACUGCAAGCUCAUCCUGAGUCUCGAGCCGGAUGAGGACCCCCUCUGCAUGCUGCUGCUCAUUGACCACCUGGCCUUGCGGGCCCGGAACUACGAGUACCUGAUCCGCCUCUUCCAGGAGUGGGAGGCUCAUCGGAACCUGUCCCAGCUCCCAAAUUUUGCCUUCUCCGUUCCACUGGCAUAUUUCCUGCUGAGCCAGCACACAGACCUCCCUGAGCAUGAGCGGAGCUCUGCCAGGGAGAAGGCCUCUCUCCUGAUACAGCAGGCGCUCACCAUGUUCCCUGGAGUCCUCCUGCCCCUGCUUGAGUCCUGCAGUGUGCGGCCCGACACCACCGUUUCCAGUCACCGCUUCUUCGGACCCAAUGCUGAGAUAAGCCAGCCGCCUGCCCUGAGCCAGCUGGUGAGCCUGUACCUCGGGAGGUCACACUUCCUCUGGAAGGAGCCAGCCACCAUGAGCUGGCUGGAGGAGAACGUCCACGAGGUUCUGCAGGCAGUGGACGCCGGGGACCCAGCCGUGGAAGCCUGUGAGAACCGGCGGAAGGUGCUCUACCAGCGUGCACCCAGGAAUAUCCACCGCCAUGUGAUCCUCUCUGAGAUCAAGGAAGCCGUUGCUGCCCUGCCCCCGGACGUGACCACGCAGUCUGUGAUGGGGUUUGACCCUCUGCCUCCUUCGGACACAAUCUACUCCUACGUCAGGCCAGAGAGGCUAAGUCCCAUCAGCCAUGGAAACACAAUUGCACUCUUCUUCCGGUCACUGUUGCCAAACUAUGCCCUGGAGGGGGAGAGGCCCGAGGAAGGAGUGGCCGGGGGUCUGAACCGCAACCAGGGCCUGAACAGGCUGAUGCUGGCUGUACGCGACAUGAUGGCCAACUUCCACCUCAACGACCUGGAGGCGCCGCACGAGGACGACGCUGACGGGGAGGGGGAGUGGGACUGAGCGUCCGCAGAGGUGACCGAAAAGCCGUACGAUGAUGUUCCUGAUUUCUGUGCUGGUCGGAGUCGGCCAGUUGCCUGAAGUAGGGGUGCUGACUGUGUCGCUACCUGGUCCACUGUUUCUCCUAUAAAUGAGGCAGCAGGCAGGAGGGGCUGCCCAAGGCUCUAGGGCGGCCAGUGUGGCAGGAAACACGUUCCAGCCCCAGCUAGGUACUGGUCCGUGGACCCACCUCCCAGAAAGCCCAUCACUGUGUAAUCCUCUAACCUGGGGUUCCCCGAGGCCUAUGCCUUGAGUCCACCCAAGUGGGGAUGUGAUGUUUAGAGCUGCAGCAGCCGCCCUACGGUUGGGAGUCAGAGAUGAGCCGGUGUUCCAGGGACAGUGCAGCAGAGGCUGAGCGCAGGCCUGCUGUGCUGAGAGGUGGCUGGAUCACUGAUGCUUUGGCAGUGGUGCUGGGGUUUCUGUCAUGACCUGCAGCUGAGCCUUUUUCUAAUGACCGUGAGAUCUGAAAGACUGCUUUGAAGGACACCUUCAAAGGAAGCCUCUGCCAUGCGUGUGGGGAAUGCUGGAUGCUGCUUCCUCCUUUGGCCCUGCUCAGCCCAGCGAGAGGCCAAGGCACAUGUGGCUCCUGGGUGCCCAUAGGCAGCGUGGCUACCCGCUGGGCCCGUUUCCACCGAGCCGGAACCCCCCAGUCUUCAAUGCAGGCACCACGGGGGGCCCACGAGAAACCCUGCUUGCCACCUCCCACACCCCCACCCCCAGGUUCAAAGGAAAUGGCCCCUGAGCCAAGGGCUGAGA